rnacentral:rRNA from 1 species
UACGUAGGGGGCUAGCGUUGUCCGGAUUUAUUGGGCGUAAAGAGCGUGUAGGCGGCCAGGUAGGUCUGCUGUGAAAACUCGAGGCUCAACCUCGAGACGUCGGCGGAAACCAUCUGGCUAGAGUCCGGAAGAGGCGAGUGGAACUCCUGGUGUAGCGGUGGAAUGCGCAGAUAUCAGGAAGAACACCAACGGCGAAGGCAGCUCGCUGGGACGGAACUGACGCUAAGGCGCGAAAGCGUGGGGAGCGAACAGG